CGGGGACGUGCCACCGCUGCUGUCUCGGGGCUGCGCUCGCAUCUGGGAGCCGGGGAAGGGAGCCUGAUGCAAGCUGGGAUUUAGAGGCAGGUGCAAAGGUCUACGCUAGUGAAGGCUGAUGGAAGUUCAGAGCCUUGCUAACAUACCUCAAGGCCAUGUUGGCCAAUGCCCCAGAAGUUGGUGCUGUUCGUCUGGAAUUUGUCAUCACUGGAUGUGCAUGAGCAAAGAGACAGCAGUCACUUGGUGGAUUGCCCCCUGAGCGCUGAUUUGUCACCUGAACUCCCUCCGCUCUUUCCAAAGCCAUGCAGUUCUCCAUGUUAUGCUAUGAAAGACCUACAAGGGAAAUUAAUAACAUAUAAAAAUAAAGAUGAUCCGGUGUCUGAUCCCAGUCUUUCACCUAUGAAUGACCCUGCAGUAGGAGUAAUCUGUGAUGGACUAUUUGUGUGGUGAGUCAUGCAGAACCUGUCAGCAAAGGUCUAGGACUGACUUAAAUUUUCUUCACCAGUUUUCAAAAUUACUUAUAAAAAGGCAAGGAAGGGAUAGUAGAUACAGUGCAAAGUAUUUUGUGUAUACACAUAUAGAUGGUAUAUACAAAUGCAAUAUAUGGUAAUUGAAGCAGUUUGUAAUCUGCAUUGCAACUGUUCUGCAUAAACUGUUCUACACAUAAUAUUUUUUUUCUGACAACCAGACUACUAAAUGAAGAAUGGCUUGGAGUUACUGAAGCCAACUGAAACUAUGAUAACUAAAACAGCACAACACAGCAAUGCCCACAAAAUACGGACAGACCUGUUUAAACUACAAUAGUAAAUUGAUUGAUUACUGUUGUCAAAGUUUGCUAAUCCUUACUUAUGCUGAGUAGUACCUUUUGCUGUGAAUAGUCACAUUGAAUUUAAACAGGAACUUCUAUGAAGCAAGAUGAUGGAACCGAUCUUAAAUUAGUCCAGUGAUGAGAAAAUUAACAGAGAGGGGUGAAAACCACAUAGGAAAGCAUAGAGGCAAUAGACAUGGAGAUAUCUGUAAGGUAGCCAGCGUGUAAAGAUAUACUCAGAGCCUGUUUACAGCAGUAACUAAAACCAUGCCACAUACAACUCAAAACGGGGUAAGAAAAGCUGUCUUUGUAAUGCUUUCACAGUCUGAGUGCAUAAAGACAAAAAUAAGGGAGAUCUUUAGCUGCUGAGGAACAUGACUUGUGGCACAGAAAGAGACGAUGGAUCACAGGCUCAGAUAUCAAAGGGCCUUUGUGAGGGAAGAGUCCUGUGAGUCCUCCCAGCAGGAAGGGGAAUUACUGGUAGCACUGAGACCUGUAAUAUUUUCCUUUUCUUUUUGCUUCAAGAAAAAAGUAGUCAGCAAAAUUCUGAUGGAAGAAUCUUUAAAGGACAAAGAAAGCAAAGUGAUUUUCAAACCCCACAGCUUUAAGUUGUGGAGGUGGAAAUCAAAACAAAGACAUCAACCUUACCCAUACACUUCUGACUUAUAAACUAAACAAAUUUGACCUGCCACUGCUAGGAAGGAAUAAAUAAAGCAACCCAUGACAUUAGCCUCAGAGUCAUUUCUAUGACCUUACCUGAUCUUUACCUGAAAAGCAGUGAGUGCUUUAAUCCUGAAUGAGUUUCUUUUCCGUAGCAGAAUAGAUGGAAAAAUCAGCUCUAGUUGUAUUAUUUAGUAAGACUUUUGUCUCCAUUUCUAUUAAAAUGAUCAUGCUUUUACUUCUUUUAAAUAUUA